rnacentral:rRNA from 1 species
GACGAACGCUGGCGGCGUGCUUAACACAUGCCAGUCGAACGGAAAGGCCCUGCUUUUGUGGGGUGCUCGAGUGGCGAACGUGUGAGUAACACGUGAGUAACCCGCCCUUUACUUUGGGAUAACUUCAGGAAACUGUGGCUAAUACCGGCUAGGAGCUCCUGCUGCCUGGUGGGGGUAGGAAAGUUUCGGCGGGUGGGGCUGGACGCGCGGCUUAUCAGCUUGUUGGUGGGGGAGUGGCUUACCAAGGCUUUGACGGGUAGCCGGCCUGAGGGGGGGACCGGCCACAUGGGGACUGAGGGAGGGCCCAGAGUGCUACGGGGGGCAGCAGUGGGGAAUAUUGCACAAUGGGCGGAAGCCUGAUGCAGCAACGCCGCGUGCGGAAUGACGGCCUUCGGGUGGUAAACCGCUUUCGCCUAUGACGAAGCGUGAGUGACGGUAACGGGUAAAGAAGCACCGGCUAACUACGUG